rnacentral:rRNA from 1 species
GAUUCUGGCUCAGGAUGAACGCUAGCGACAGGCUUAACACAUGCAAGGUCGAGGGGCAGCAUAAAAGUAGCAAUACUUGGUGGCGACCGGCGCACGGGUGAGUAACGCGUAUGCAACCUACCUAUCAGAGGGGAAUAACCCGGCGAAAGUCGGACUAAUACCGCAUAAAACAGGGGCACCGCAUGGUGAUAUUUGUUAAAGAAAUUCGCUGAUAGAUGGGCAUGCGUUCCAUUAGGUAGUUGGUGAGGUAACGGCUCACCAAGCCGACGAUGGAUAGGGGAACUGAGAGGUUGGUCCCCCACACUGGUACUGAGACACGGACCAGACUCCUACGGGAGGCAGCAGUGAGGAAUAUUGGUCAAUGGGCGGGAGCCUGAACCAGCCAAGUCGCGUGAAGGAAAGAAGGAUCUAUGGUUCGUAAACUUCUUUUGCAGGGGAAUAAAGUGCAGGACGUGUCCUGUUUUGUAUGUACCCUGAGAAUAAGGAUCGGCUAACUCCGUGCCAGCAGCAGC